rnacentral:hammerhead_ribozyme from 1 species
GUACUGCUGAAGAGUCCAAAAUAGGACGAAACAGCUCUCCAGUAC